GGUUAAACAAUAAUUGAUAAACAAUAGGAUGGAACAUCGGAGUUGUCACCAAUUGUAAUGGUUAGUUCUUUGUCUGCAAUCGAG